rnacentral:rRNA from 1 species
AGGCUGGCGGAUGCUUACACAUGCAAGUCUAUGGUGAGGGUGAUGUUUACAUGUGCCUGAGCCAGGGCGGACGGGUGAGUAACGCGUAAAGAACGUACCCUAUGGACUGGGAUAACAUCUGGAAACGGAUGACAAGACUGGAUAAGCUUUUAUACCUGCAUGGGUAUGGGAGGAAUAGCCAUGGGAGUGCUUUGCGUCCUAUUAGCUAGUUGGUGGGGUAGAGGCCUACCAAGGCGAUGAUAGGUAGCCGGCCUGAGAGGGUGAACGGCCACAAGGGGACUGAGAUACGGCCCUUACUCCUACGGGAGGCAGCAGUGGGGAAUAUUGGACAAUGGGCGAUGAGAGCCUGAUCCAGCAAUUCUGUGUGCACGAGGAAGGUUUUCGGAUUGUAAAGUGCUUUCAGCAGGGAAGAAGGAGAUGACGGUACCUGCAGAAGAAGCGACGGCUAAAUACGUGCCAGCAGCCGCGGUAAUACGUAUGUCGCGAGCGUUAUCCGGAAUUAUUGGGCAUAAAGGGCAUCUAGGCGGCUGAUUAAGUCUGAGGUGAAAACUUUCGGCUCAACCGAGAGCCUGCCUUGGAAACUAAUGCAGCUGGAGUACUGGAGAGGUGGACGGAACUACACGAGUAGAGGUGAAAUUCGUAGAUAUGUGUAGGAAUGCCGAUGAUGAAGAUAGUCCACUGGACAGCUACUGACGCUGAAGUGCGAAAGCUAGGGGAGCGAACAGGAUUAGAUACCCUGGUAGUCCUAGCUGUAAACGAUGAUCACUGGGUGUGGGCAGGGAGACUGUCUGUGCCGAAGCUAAUGCGAUAAGUGAUCCGCCUGGGGAGUACGGCCGCAAGGCUGAAACUCAAAUGAAUUGACGG